GACGAGUUGUGCAACUGGUUUGGGAUUUGAAAAAAAGGAAAGAGGGUGGGGAUCAGAAGAAGGUGCAAAGCCACAAAGUACCUUUCUGCAUCUAAGAUGGUGAAGAAAGGAGUGAGGAAGAGAACAAAAUAACUACUGGAAAGUCUCAAACCAGGUUGGGGAGUGUGUGUGCAUAUGGGGGGGUGGGGAAGGUAAAAAGGAAAGAGGAUUAACCACAGCAACCCCCCCCCCCCCC